AACGAACGCUGGCGGCGUGCCUAACACAUGCAAGUCGAGCGCGAAAGUCCCUUCGGGGGCGAGUAGAGCGGCGGACGGGUGAGUAAUACAUGGAUAAUCUGCCCUCGAGAUCGGGAUAACCCUGCGAAAGUGGGGCUAAUACCGAAUAAGACCACACAACACAAGUUGUGUGGUAAAAGGUGGCUUGAAUUUAUUCUGGCUAUCACUUGAGGAUGAGUCCAUGGCCUAUCAGCUUGUUGGUGGGGUAAUGGCCUACCAAGGCUAUGACAGGUAGCUGGUCUGAGAGGACGACCAGCCACACUGGGACUGAGACACGGCCCAGACUCCUACGGGAGGCAGCAGUGGGGAAUAUUGGGCAAUGGGCGAAAGCCUGACCCAGCGACGCCGCGUGGGUGAUGAAGGCCUUCGGGUUGCAAGCGACUUUAUUCUAGACGAAAGAACGUAGGUAGUAAUAACUACUUACGUACGUCUCGUACGGUACCGUACGUAGGAAGUAAGACACCGGCCGUAACC
rnacentral:rRNA from 1 species